UGCGCCUGCAUUGGAUGCAGCCCUGCCCAAAUUGUGCCUUGCAGGCGGCCGGACAGGGUACACAUCCCGUGAUCGGCAAUUUUGCCGAUUCAAAUCCUUUC
rnacentral:sRNA from 1 species